rnacentral:misc_RNA from 1 species
GAUGAAGAACGCAGUGAAAUGCGAUAAGUAAUGUGAAUUGCAGAAUUCAGUGAAUCAUCGAAUCUUUGAACGCACAUUGCGCCCGCCAGUAUUCUGGCGGGCAUGCCUGUUCGAGCGUCAUUUCAACCAUCAAGCCCCAGGCUUGUGUUGGGGACCCGCGGCUGCCGCAGGCCCUGAAAACCAGUGGCGGGCUCGCUGUCACACCGGGCGUAGUAGAUUUUAUCUCGCUCAGGGCGUGCUGCGGGUUCCGGCCGUUAAAAAGCCUUUUUUACCCAAGGUUGACCUCGGAUCAGGUAGGAAGACCCGCUGAACUUAAGCAUAUCAAUAAGCGGAGGA